UACGUAGGUGGCAAGCGUUGUCCGGAUUUACUGGGCGUAAAGAGCGCGCAGGCGGUCGUUCAAGUCGCGUGUGAAAGCCCCCGGCUCAACUGGGGAGGGUCACGCGAUACUGAUCGACUCGAAGGCAGGAGAGGGAAGUGGAAUUCCCGGUGUAGUGGUGAAAUGCGUAGAUAUCGGGAGGAACACCAGUGGCGAAGGCGGCGACCUGGGCCAAUAUUGACGCUGAGGUGCGAAAGCGUGGGGAGCAAAUAGG
rnacentral:rRNA from 1 species